CGCAGGGGAAUGUAUUUUAUAUUGCAUUCUGGGGGUUUAUUACAAAAUGCAAUAGAUUAUUAGAAAACGCAGGUCUAUUUGGUACAUAAUGAAGUAAAAAUGUAUUUAUUUUGUGUUAGAUUAUUAGAAAAUGCCUUAUGCUGAUACAUAAUGUGUUGUUGCAGGCCUUUACUGUUUCCUAUAAUAAUCAUAUUGAAGAUAUAAAGUCACCUUUGUUGUGGAAAGUAAACAAUGUGAAUGCUUUUCAGGUGACGUAAUGGAGUCUGCAGAACCGGAGAAGCAAGAAUUGAGAUCUUGGUAUUCCACAAUCCGCAUUUUUGGGGCAGUGGUGUUUUUAGCCAUAAUGCUAAUUAUUAGCUUCACGUCAUGUUGGAGGUGUCAUGGAGCAUCCGAGGACACAACGCAUCCGAGCCCUCAGAACUCCCAUGAUGCCUUUCAUGCCACUCACAUCUAUGAUAACGACCAGUAGUCCCAAUGUGUGUGCAUUUAAAACAAUCAAAUCUGUAACUUGUAAUUGUGUUUUCAUGGCCUUGACAUUUUUAUUUGUUU